rnacentral:lncRNA from 1 species
ACACAGAAAUCUGAAAACCACACGUGAGAAAGGCAUGAGACAGCAAUAAACUCGGCAUGCUGGAGGAACAGAGUAAAGACCAAGACAGCCAGAAAAGUAAACACGAUGCAGAGGGCAAGAAUGACACUGUCCAGGGAACAACACUCUACCUGAGAGCUGUGCCCAGGAGUUUGGGGCAGUGAUGUGCAAUGAAGUGAAAGGGAUCCACGAUGGAGCAAAUGGCUGGUGAAGAACCAAGGAUGCAGCGGGGACCUGGGAAGAAUGUGUGAUUUCAACGAGGAGGAGGACAACACAGAGGGACCCACACCAGUCCUUCUCUCCUUGCUCCACUUACACCAGAGUAGGAGAGGAUCAAGAUAGUCCUAACUAAUUGUGAUAAUCCCUGUACUUUUGGUGGGUGUUAAAAUCAUGUAUGGGCUACCACUUGUUAUUACCUUGGUAAG